UACGAGGGGGGCGAGCGUUGUUCGGAAUUAUUGGGCGUAAAGGGCGCGUAGGCGGUGCGACGUGUCUCCUGUGAAAUCUCCAGGCUCAACUUGGAGUCUGCAGGAGAAACUGUCGUGCUUGAGUACUGGAGAGGUGAGUGGAAUUCCCGGUGUAGCGGUGAAAUGCGCAGAUAUCGGGAGGAACACCGGUGGCGAAGGCGGUUCUCUGGGCCUUACCUGACGCUGAGGAGCGAAAGCGUGGGGAGCGAACAGG
rnacentral:rRNA from 1 species